rnacentral:rRNA from 1 species
AACGAACACUGGCGGCAUGGAUUAGGCAUGCAAGUCGAACGAGAAAGUUCCCUUCGGGGAAUGAGUACAGUGGCGAACGGGUGAGUAACGCGUGGGAAACCUGCCCUUUUGUGGGGGAUAACAGUUCUAACGAGCUGCUAAUACCGCAUACGACCCCUGGAUCGCAUGGUCCGGGGGUGAAAGGUGGCCUCUCUUUGAAGCUGCCGCAGAAGGAUGGUCCCGCGUCCCAUUAGCUUGUUGGUGGGGUAAGUGGCCUACCAAGGCGACGAUGGGUAGCCGGCCUGAGAGGGUGUCCGGCCACACUGGGACUGAGAUACGGCCCAGACUCCUACGGGAGGCAGCAGUCGAGAAGCUUCGGCAAUGGGCGAAAGCCUGACCGAGCGAUGCCGCGUGAGCGAAGAAGGCCCUAUGGGUUGUAAAGCUCUGUCAGAUUGGGAAGAACGCUCCGGGGUUAAUACCCUCGGGGUUUGACGGUACCAUCAGAGGAAGCACCGGCUAACUCCGUGCCAGCAGCC